ACUAUUAUCGACUAACAACAAAUAAAGAUAAAAUAUUUCAAUCUGCUAUUGCUGUACCGUCCGCGCUCUGCAUGUCAGUCACGCCAUUCGUUUCUUGUGUUAUUUUGUGCGCAAUUGUUACCAGUAUUGUAUUUUUAUUUUUUAUCAAAUUUCAUUAAAUAUUUAAUUUAAUUUCGUCACAAAAAUGCCUAAGAAAUUUACAUGUGUUUUAGUUAAAAAGUAUAUUACAGAAUUUGGGUCAGAUGUUUUUUCAGCAUACUAUAAUGUGCUGUUUUGUAAUUAUUGUGAAACGAAAGUGAGCGUGGAUAAAAGGUUUAUUGUCACCCAACAUCUUAAGACGGAAAAACAAAUGGGCAGCUAAGGGUAUUAAAAAUCGCCCAGAAUUCAAACUUGAUUGAACUACUAAAUUGAUCGAGUGAGCAAAACAAGAUAAAUAUCGCUGCUUUAAUAUUUGCUGCAUAGUCACUUACUACUCCAGUUAGUUUACAAGACGAAUUCCAAUCAUCAACCCUAUUUCUCAAGUACCGAGCCAAGUUGCUUGCUUAUAUGAUCAAUAAAAUGAGCUGUUACUGCUAUGAAACUUUCAUUAUUGAUAGACAUCCAGCAAACAGACAUAGUGCCGUUACAUUGUUAUUUUUUGUCUUUGACGCAUUCAAGGGUCAUUUCGUACAUCUGUGGUAAUAAAUUCUGUGUUACGGUUUUUAUAGAUGGAAUGGAAUAGGAUGGGCACAUGUUAAUCAACUUUCGGAACUCUUUAUCCUCUACAAUGCUAAAAGGUUAUUUAUAGAUGCCUGCUGUUUAGAAAUAUGACUUAAAUCUUUUUAUACUGGUGCUGCAGUUAAAUGAUUGUUAUGUGACAUAGAUGAUGAUGGUUAUGAAUCAUUGAGUACCUCAAAAUUUGGGAUACACAUCUUAUAAUUUAAAAAAUAUUG
rnacentral:lncRNA from 1 species